UGGAGUCUCUCCCUCCUGGGGGUGGGGGUUAAAUGAGGUGCAGGGAGGGCCUGGGAGCGGGCUGGGCUGAGCGCUGCCCCCAGGCACGCUGUCGGUGCUGUUGUGAGGACCGUCUUCUGGGGCAGGGCUGGCA
ensembl:miRNA